GACGAACGCUGGCGGCGUGCUUAACACAUGCAAGUCGAACGGAAAGGCCCUGCUUUUUUGGGGUGCUCGAGUGGCGAACGGGUGAGUAACACGUGUGUAACCUGCCCUUGACUUUGGGAUAACUUCAGGAAACUGGGGCUAAUACCGGAUAGGAGCUCCUGCUGCAUGGUGGGGGUUGGAAAGUUUCGGCGGUUGGGGAUGGACGGGCGGCUAAUCAGCUUGUUGGUGGGGUAGUGGCUUACCAAGGCUGUGACGGGUAGGCGGCCUGAGAGGGUGACCGGGGACAUUGGGCCUGAGGUACGGACCAGUCUGCAACGGGAGGCAGUGGGGGGGAGUAUGGCACAGUGAGCGGAAGCCUGAGACAGAAACGCUGCGUUCGGGAUGACGGCCUGCGGGUUGUGAACAGCUUUAGCCUGUGACGAAGCGGGAGUGACGGUAAUGGAUAAAGAAGCACCGGCUAACUACGUG
rnacentral:rRNA from 1 species